CCAAAUUUACUAAAUUGAAAACGCAAUGCUUUCAAAUAUUUCUAAGAAACUGACUUGUUCCAGAUGUGGUCACAGCUCAAAGUUUAUUAUUAAUAAAUUGAAAUAGUAAAUGAUAACAUCAAAUUGCUUAUUCUGUAAUAGCACUGGUUUAAUCAUGAAGUUCAACUACAAACUCUACUUAGAACAGGAAUCUUUUUUGAGUAUGUAC
rnacentral:misc_RNA from 1 species